rnacentral:misc_RNA from 1 species
GAUGAAGAACGUAGUGAAAUGCGAUACGUAAUGUGAAUUGCAGAAUUCAGUGAAUCGUCGAAUCUUUGAACGUAUAUUGCGCUCUUUGGUAUUCCGAAGAGCAUGCUUGUUUGAGUAUCAGUAAACACCUCAAAAGAUUUUCAUUUUUGAAAUGAUUUUGGACUUGAGCAAUCCCAACACCAGUCUUCACGGAUCGGCGGAGGGUUGCUUGAAAUGCAGGUGCAGCUGGACAUUCUCCUGAGCUAAAAGCAUAUCUAUUUAGUCCCGUCAAACGGAUUAUUACUUUUGCUGCAGCUAACAUAAAGGGAGUUUGACCAUUUUGGCUGACUGAUGCAGGAUUUCACAAGGGUCGGUAAAACGAUUUUUGUAAAACUCGAUCUCAAAUCAAGUAAGACUACCCGCUGAACUUAAGCAUAUCAAUAAGCGGAGGA